GCGUUUGUGGUUUAGUGGUAAAAUCCAUCGUUGCCAUAGAGUACGACUCUGAGCGAUCAGAGUACGAUACAUCAGUUUCGAUGGGCCCCGGGUUCGAUUCCCGGCGAACGCA